rfam:Camelus ferus unplaced genomic scaffold scaffold544, whole genome shotgun sequence.
GAGGGUAUAGCCCAGAGGUAGAGUGCAUGCCUAGUGUGCUUGAGGUCCUGGGUUCAGUCUCCAGUACCUCCA